UCAUGCAGUCUUCAUUCUGCCUUGGGUGUGCUGGUCCUGUGCCAGGAGCAUAACAGGGUCCAGUCUGCUCAGUACUUGGAUGGGAGAUUCCCAAGAGAAAUGCAGGGUGCUGCAGGAG
rnacentral:rRNA from 1 species